rnacentral:rRNA from 1 species
UACGGAGAGUGCAAGCGUUGUUCGGAAUUAUUGGGCGUAAAGCGCGUGUAGGCGGUCCAACAAGUCUGGCGUGAAAGCCUUGAGCUCAACUCAAGAAGUGCGCUGGAAACUGUCGGACUUGAGUACUGGAGGGGGAGGUGGAAUUCUCGAGUGUAGAGGUGAAAUUCGUAGAUAUUCGGAAGAACAUCAGUGGCGAAGGCGACCUCCUGGACAGAUACUGACGCUGAGACGCGAAAGCGUGGGUAGCAAACAGG